rnacentral:rRNA from 1 species
AUUGAACGCUAGCGGGAUGCUUUACACAUGCAAGUCGAACGGAGUGGCGAAAGGGUGAGUAAUGUAUCGGAACGUGCCCAGUAGCGGGGGAUACCUACGCGAAAGCGUAGCUCAUACCGCACAAUAUUGGAGCGGCCGAUAACGGAUUAGCUAGUUGGUGAGGUAACGGCUCAACAAGGCGACGAUCCGUAGCUGGUUUGAGAGGACGACCAGCCACACUGGGACUGAGACACGGCCCAGACUCCUACGGGAGGCAGCAGUGGGGAAUUUUGGACAAUGGGGGCAACCCUGAUCCAGCCAUCCCGCGUGUGCGAUGAAGGGCUUCGGGUUGUAGAGCACUUUUGGCAGGAAAGCGGUACCUGCAGAAUAAACACCGGCUAACUACGUGCCAGCAGCCGCGGUAAUAC